UACGAAGGGGGCUAGCGUUACUCGGAUUGACUGGGCGUAAAGGGCGCGUAGGCGGUUCGUACAGUCAGACGUGAAAUUCCUGGGCUCAACCUGGGGGCUGCGUUUGAUACGUGCGGGCUUGAGUUCGGAAGAGGGUCGUGGAAUUCCCAGUGUAGAGGUGAAAUUCGUAGAUAUUGGGAAGAACACCGGUGGCGAAGGCGGCGACCUGGUCCGAUACUGACGCUGAGGCGCGAAAGCGUGGGGAGCGAACAGG
rnacentral:rRNA from 1 species